CGUUGACCUCGGAUCAGGUAGGGAUACCCCGUUGAACUUAAACAUAUCAAUAACGGGGGGAACCC
rnacentral:rRNA from 1 species